AGAAUCAACGCUGGCGGCGUGCCUAACACAUGCAAGUCGAACGAGAAAGGGUAGCAAUACCUAAGUAAAGUGGCGCACGGGUGAGUAACACGUGACUAACCUACCCUGGAGUGGGGGAUAACUGAGGGAAACCUUAGCUAAUACCGCAUAACACCUACGGGUCAAAGGAGCAAUUCGCUUCAGGAGGGGGUCGCGGCCGAUUAGUUAGUUGGCGGGGUAAUGGCCCACAAGACAGUGAUCGGUAU
rnacentral:rRNA from 1 species